rnacentral:rRNA from 1 species
GACGAACGCUGGCGGCGCGCCUAACACAUGCAAGUCGAACGGAGUCAAGAGGAGCUUGCUUUUCUUGCCUUAGUGGCGCACGGGUGAGUAACGCGUGUGUAACCUGCCCUGCAGUGGGGGACCACAGUUGGAAACGGCUUCUAAUACCGCAUAAGCCCACGGAUCCUCAUGGAUCUUCGGGAAAAGGAUUUAUUCGCUUCAGACUGGACUCUCGUCCAAUUAGCUAGUGGGUGAGGUAACGGCCCACCAAGGCGACGAUUGGUAGCCGGACUGAGAGGUGGACAGGCUGCAUUGGGAAUGAGACACGGACCAGAAUCCUACGGGAGGCAGCAGUGGGGGAUAUUGCAGAAGGGGGGAAAACCUGAUGAAGCGACGCGGCGGGGAGGAAGAAGGUUGUCGGAUUGUAAACUCCUGUCGUAAGGGACGAUAAUGACGGUAACUAACAAGAAAGCACCGGCUAACUACGUG